AUUUCAAAAAUGAACUAGUUCAGUGCUUAGUUCAUACUUCAAAACUUUGAACUACGUUCACAGUACCAAAAAUGAACUAGUUCAUAGUUUUUCCCAUAUGUUGC